UACAGAGGUCUCAACCGUUGUUCGGAUUCAUUGGGCGUAAAGGGUGCGUAGGCGGUCGCGCAAGUCGGAUGUGAAAUCUCAGGGCUCAACCCUGAAACUGCAUUCGAUACUGCGUGGCUAGAGUGCUGGAGAGGAGACUGGAAUUAACGGUGUAGCAGUGAAAUGCGUAGAUAUCGUAAGGAAGACCAGUGGCGAAGGCGAGUCUCUGGACAGCAACUGACGCUGAGGCACGAAGGCCAGGGGAGCAAACGGG
rnacentral:rRNA from 1 species